GGACGUGCAAGGCCAAGAUGAGGACAAAGAAUGAGAGGGAAGGAGGUUGGUUCCUGACAGAGUUGUGAGAAGGAUGGAGAGGAGAAGACCCUGGCACAGACCCCUACCUGGCCCCAUCUCCUGCAAGAGUACCACUGUCCAUUUGCUCUGACUCUGCACUCAACUGAUGUGCUGAGGAGCCUGGACAGAAUCACACUCACUAUGCUGAGCUGGCCCUUGCACCAGCGAGGAGGCCCAGGAGGCUCCAGUGCUUCUGUUCCUGCCUCUGCAUGCUCUCCCUCUUCCUGCCUUGAGACUUAAUAUAGAGUCCAUCACUUGCCAGCUGGGAACCUGAUCAUUGACCCAACAUCCGUGACCUGAGGAGGGCACACAAGUCCAGUGCUCUGUGGGUGUUCUUCUGGAACAUUGUGGGAUGGCAAAGGAGCUCUGAAAAGCCCCCAAAGGACUUCAGGGGACUCUGAAGCAUAGAGAAUAAGGGAAACCCUUCAAGGCAGGACACGGAAACCUGCAGGGACAUGGAGCAGACUGAGGCAAUGCUCAGGCCCUGCCAUCAUGACUCGGGUUCUUGGCUGAGAUUCCACCUACCAAUGUCUCCUGCCAACCGUCAGGUCACCAGCUGCCCCUCUCUUGUCCUGAGUCUCCUGCCCAUUGUGACCUUGAGGGCUCAUGGGCUCU
rnacentral:lncRNA from 1 species